UACGGGGGGAGCAAGCGUUGUUCGGAUUUACUGGGCGUAAAGGGCGCGUAGGCGGUCGUGACAAGUCACUUGUGAAAUCUCCGGGCUUAACUCGGAACGGUCAAGUGAUACUGUCGGACUAGAGUACAGAAGGGGCAACUGGAAUUCUCGGUGUAGCGGUGGAAUGCGCAGAUAUCAGGAGGAACACCUAUGGCGAAGGCAGCUCUCUGGUACGAGACUGACGCUGAGACGCGAAAGCGUGGGGAGCGAACAGG
rnacentral:rRNA from 1 species